CACAUGAAUUGAAUGGUUCAAUCCCAAAAAAAUUGAACGGUUCCAACCCAUUCAUACGACACCUUCAACCAAACGCAUCCUUAAUAGAUUUCCAUUUUGAUCUCUGUAGAUUUUUAUGGAUGAAACCUUAAUAUGUUACAUGCAUGCCUCAUCUAUGCAUUUUACCACUGCUAUUUUCUUAAAGAUGGUAACAUUGUCCAUCAGAUCUUUUUCUUAGUUUCUUUCCAAGGUAAUUGGUGUGGUUGAUUGCUAUUGAGUGCAAAUAUUCUGCUCCUGAGCUUCAAAUAUUUUUUAAACAAAGCAAAUCUCUCCUUUAAAAUUCAAAAAAAUCCUUAAAUUUCCAUACAUGUAAAUGUCCAUUAUGUAUAUGUAGCAUUAGAUUAUAAUAAAUUGUUUGCAGGUUAUACAAAAAAUACUUAUCUCUAGAUCUGAAAUAGCAAACAGUAAAUAAAAGCGAUGCACGCAUUGGUCUUUCAGUGUGACAUACAAAAAAAGGAUUUUAUAAUAACGUUUAAAGGUAGACAGUACAAAUCAACAUGUAUAAUUUUUCUGAAACUUCAACGCACUUUUUCUUUCUUCUUUUGAACCGACCUCAAAGGAGCCAUUCAGGGUUUCCACAAAAUAUCAUGAUAUACUAAUGUUACAGAGUUCUAGAUCGUGGAUUUGGUAAGCACUCUAGAUUUUGAAUCACACCGUUAAUAAAGGAGAAAGAUAGUAUAUUUUGUGAUGAAAAUAUAAUAAUUAUUUUUAGAGUAAGGCAUGUUAAAUAAUAAACUAGGGCGUAGUGAGAUCCAAUAAGUCAAUAGACGUAUGAAAAAACUGGUGAAUAUUGUCAUAUUGUAGAUGCACAUGUUCGAUUUCACAUUUUAAUUUAAUUGCAUAAAUUGUGUAUGACUCGAACUCUAGAGAAAUUUUUCUCGGUGCAGGCACUCAAAUCCCGAGCCAAGCGUUGAUGCAGGCUACUAUGGGGGCUAGGAAGCAGGAUCAACUUCAAGCCAACUUAAAAUUAAUUCUAAUGAGUAUUUGGUCUUCAUUCUGUCUCGAUGCAAACACAUCAACGUGUGGACUACCAUCCAUUGAUGCGUGGAGACCAGAUAUUCAUGUAUCGGCCUCACGCAUGUCUUUGCUGGAGCCCAUUCAUGGCGAGGAUAUACAUGGUUGAUGGCCCAACAAUCCUUAGGGGAUGGAAGGAUCCCAUGAAUACAGGAAUAGCACUAAAUAAACUGUGUACUAACUAGAGCAAUGAUAUAUUUCACAGAUCUAGGAUAUAUAUGUAAAAUAACAAUUUACUUCAUAUAACUACUAGGCUGACAAGUA